AAGGCUCACGCCACGCCAGGCGGCUGAUUAGUGCCGCUGGCCUCUCCAGAUGGGGAGCACGGCCUGAGAGGGGCGCCUGCCACCACGCCAGGAGACGGCCUCGCCGGAGCCGGUGACAGCCCCAGGCCAGGUCCUUCCCUCCCGGAGCCUCUGCUUGGUCGGCUCUCCGCUGUGGAUGCUACCUGGGGCUCCCUCCUGGAACAGUGGGUAGGACUUGCAUGUGAUCCGAGUGGCCCCAUUCCUGGGACACACGAGGCCAUUGGGUGAAAAUACCAGCUCUUCCAAGAAUUUCUUCCAAACUGCCUCCCCAGUCUGCCCAGAAGACCUUCCCUAUGCUGCAGCAACUGUAAAACCCGGGGAAUAAAAGACCUGGGAAGAGACAAGUGGCCUCAUCUGGAGGCAGGUGAAGCCCAGCCCUGCUCUUUCACACUGUUUUCAUACCCCAGCCCCUUAGGUGAAGUUGCUUGAGGACAUAAGAGGCAGAGAUACAAGUGAUUUUAUUGCAUCAAAGAGGAGUGUUUUACCCAACACAGCAGGAAGGCAUUUUCAAGCGUCAUCAGAAUUACCUUCAUUCAGCCUUUGAAUAGCUAGAUUCUCAACUUUUUCUGAGCUCAAAGGGACUCUUCUUCAACGAGUAGAGGAGCGCAGAGCAGAGAGUGGGUGGUUGUUCAGCUUGCUGUUGGGGUGGGGAUAGAGGUCAUUAACUACUUUGGGAUGAUUUGCGCUCAUCGACUUCCAAAUGCUGAGUAGAAGUGAAGAAGACAUGACUCACAUUCCAAUUCAGAGAACAUUUAUCAAGGACCUACUAUGUACUUCAAAUGCUGUCUACAAAACAACAAAUCCCAAAC
ensembl:lncRNA